rnacentral:rRNA from 1 species
CCCUUAGAUGUUCUGGGCCGCACGCGCGCUACACUGACGAUGGCAACGAGUUUUUCCUUCGCCGAAAGGUGUGGGUAAUCUUUUGAAACAUCGUCGUGCUGGGGAUAGAUCAUUGCAAUUUUUGAUCUUGAACGAGGAAUUCCUAGUAAGCGCGAGUCAUCAGCUCGCGUUGAUUACGUCCCUGCCCUUUGUACACACCGCCCGUCGCUACUACCGAUUGAAUGAUUUAGUGAGGACUCCUGAUUGGCGCCGCCGCCCCGGCAACGGAGCAGCGGACUGCCGAAAAGUUGUUCAAACUUGAUCAUUUAGAGGAAGUAAAAGUCGUAACA